rnacentral:rRNA from 1 species
GGCCCAAAAGAAACGCCCGCGAACGGCUCACACACGCCAAGCCGAGGGGCAGCCACGGUCUACGCCUCGCUCAGACCGACGGCGACCGGCGCACGGGCGCGUCACGCGUCACGCAACUCGCCUCACAGAGGGGGAUAACCCGUUCGAAAGAACGGAACUAAUAACCGCGUCACACUUCACAGGAGGGCAUCCUCCAGUAAGGAAACGAAAAUUUCGCCGCGAGAUAGGCACGCGUCCCAUUCAGCUAGUUCGGUGAGGUAACGGCUCACCAAGGCGACGAAUGGGUAGGGGAACUGAAAGGUUUGAAACUCCACACUGGUACUGAGACACGGACCAGACUCCUACGGGAGGCAGCAGUGAGGAAAUAUUGGUCAAUGGGCGAGAGCCUGAACCAGCCAAGUCGCGUGAAGGAUGACUGUCUUAUGGAUUGUAAACUUUCUUUAUACGGGAAUAACAAGAGCCACGUGUGGCUCCCUGCAUGUACCGUAUGAAUAAGCAUCGGCUAACUCCGUGCUAGCAGCCGCGGUAAUACGGAGGAAUGCGAGCGUUAUCCGGAUUUUUUGGGUUUAAGGGUGCGUAGGCGGCCUGUUAAGUCAGCGGUGAAAUCUAGGAGCUUAACUCCUAAAUUGCCAUUGAUACUGGCGGGCUUGAGUGUAGAUGAGGUAGGCGGAAUGCGUGGUGUAGCGGUGGAAUGCAUAGAUAUCACGCAGAACUCCGAUUGCGAAGGCAGCUUACUAAGGUACAACUGACGCUGAAGCACGAAAGCGUGGGUAUCAAACAGGAUUAGAUACCCUGGUAGUCCACGCAGUAAACGAUGAUAACUGGGCGUAUGCGAUAUACAGUAUGCUCCUAAGCGAAAGCGUUAAGUUAUCCACCUGGGGAGUACGCCGGCAACGGUGAAACUCAAAGGAAUUGACGGGGGCCCGCACAAGCGGAGGAACAUGUGGUUUAAUUCGAUGAUACGCGAGGAACCUUACCCGGGAUUGAAAUGUAGAUGACCGCUCCUGAAAGGGAGUUUUCCUUCGGGACAUCUAUGUAGGUGCUGCAUGGUUGUCGUCAGCUCGUGCCGUGAGGUGUCGGCUUAAGUGCCAUAACGAGCGCAACCCCUGUCUACGGUUGCCAUCAGGUGAUGCUGGGAACUCCGUAGAGACUGCCGUCGUAAGGCGUGAGGAAGGUGGGGAUGACGUCAAAUCAGCACGGCCCUUACAUCCGGGGGCGACGACGACGUGUUACGAUGGUAAGGACGAAAGGGCGAGCUACCUGGCGACGGGAUGCGAAUCUCUAAACCUUAUCGCGGUUCGGAUCGGAGUCUGCGAACUCGAACUCCGUGAAAGCUGGAAUUCGCUAGUGAAUCGCGCUUCGAGCCGUGGCGCGGUAAAGACGUUUCCCGGGCCAUGUUAGCACCGCCC